rnacentral:rRNA from 1 species
CCUACGGGUGGCAGCAGUGGGGAAUAUUGGACAAUGGGGGCAACCCUGAUCCAGCCAUGCCGCGUGUGUGAAGAAGGCCCUCGGGUUGUAAAGCACUUUCAGUGAGGAAGAACGCCUGGUGGUUAAUACCCAUCAGGAAAGACAUCACUCACAGAAGAAGCACCGGCUAACUCCGUGCCAGCAGCCGCGGUAAUACGGAGGGUGCGAGCGUUAAUCGGAAUUACUGGGCGUAAAGCGCGCGUAGGUGGCUUGAUAAGCCGGUUGUGAAAGCCCCGGGCUCAACCUGGGAACGGCAUCCGGAACUGUCAAGCUAGAGUGCAGGAGAGGAAGGUAGAAUUCCCGGUGUAGCUGUGAAAUGCGUAGAGAUCGGGAGGAAUACCAGUGGCGAAGGCGGCCUUCUGGACUGACACUGACACUGAGGUGCGAAAGCGUGGGUAGCAAACAGGAUUAGAUACCCCUGUAGUC